GCAGGUCUGGUUGCUAGGACUGGAGACAUGAGAAGCAGGUAGACUGGCUCCUUUGAUCCCACUCAGUACUCCUAAUCUCCAGUGGUCAGAGCACACAGGAAAGAGGACACCUGUGCCCCUCCAUCCAACUAUGAAAAACAAAAAAGCUGGCACCAAGAAAUUUGAAUUUUCCCAGGAAUCUCAAUGCUGGGAGAAAGAAAAGGCUGAAGCCUGGUGCCAGCCAAAGAGAGCUUGUCUCUCAGGAAGAGACUUCACAUGGUUCUGGUAAGUUGUUAGACCACCUUGCUGGAGAGACAAAUUGACAUAAUGAUGGUUCAGCAAUGGGCAAGACCACACCUUGA
rnacentral:lncRNA from 1 species